CCAGUGUGGCAGCUGAAAUGUCUGUUGGCUGCCCGUGCUGUGGCAUCCUCUGUAGCGCAUCCCGUCCUUGCCCAGUGUUGGGUGCAGCUGGUUGUGCCCACCUGGCUUUUGUGGAGCUCAGCCUAAGUCCCUGUAUGUUUCUCCUGGGCCUGAGAGAAGGAGAAAGAGGGUUGUUGGUUUUUUGUUUGUUUGUUUGUUUGUUUUCUUGCACAUUACAUCCAUCUGCUGAAAGGGACAGCAUAAGAAAACAAGUCCAGAAGGGCUGCCCGCCACCCUCAGGGUCAGAAACCCUCGCAGAGAGCCCAGCAGCAGGUAGUGUGGAUCCCCCGUACCUCCUCAGUGGUCCAGGAGCUGUUUGUGGUGCCGGCAUACUGCUCGUCCCCGCAGCAGCGAAGGCGUCCUUCCUCACCUUAGUUACCUUACAGACGAGCACAUCAGGCUGGCUGCUCAGUCACAGCCUACAAGGUCUUUUUGGCGUGAUGAGAGAAAAUUGGAUAAAGACUAUUCAAGUCAGGAUUGUUUGCAAGCAGGUCACUGGUGGCCCUUUGCAGUCCAUGGACCACAAUGUGUCCCAGUCACCUUUGCCAUCUCUAGUUGGACAACAGAAGACUUCUAAGUAAGAGAACAGAACGUAAUGAGGUGUUGGUGAUGAUCUAACUAGCACCUGACUCGCCAGCCAGCUGUCCUUGGAGGGCUGGGUAGGGAUGAGUGCAGCUGUGCUCCGCGAUGGGGAGUGGCCGUUACACUGGCGGAUCCCAGUGGAGGAUUAUCCAAACAUCUCCAUGAUUUUCCUUUCACCCUGGAAAUACCCCCUGCAGCCAAUCAGCCAUGAGCAAACUUGAAAGGCGCAG